UGCAGUCGAGCGGACAGAUGGGAGCUUGCUCCCUGAUGUUAGCGGCGGACGGGUGAGUAACACGUGGGUAACCUGCCUGUAAGACUGGGAUAACUCCGGGAAACCGGGGCUAAUACCGGAUGGUUGUUUGAACCGCAUGGUUCAGACAUAAAAGGUGGCUUCGGCUACCACUUACAGAUGGACCCGCGGCGCAUUAGCUAGUUGGUGAGGUAACGGCUCACCAAGGCGACGAUGCGUAGCCGACCUGAGAGGGUGAUCGGCCACACUGGGACUGAGACACGGCCCAGACUCCUACGGGAGGCAGCAGUAGGGAAUCUUCCGCAAUGGACGAAAGUCUGACGGAGCAACGCCGCGUGAGUGAUGAAGGUUUUCGGAUCGUAAAGCUCUGUUGUUAGGGAAGAACAAGUGCCGUUCAAAUAGGGCGGCACCUUGACGGUACCUAACCAGAAAGCCACGGCUAACUACGUGCCAGCAGCCGCGGUAAUACGUAGGUGGCAAGCGUUGUCCGGAAUUAUUGGGCGUAAAGGGCUCGCAGGCGGUUUCUUAAGUCUGAUGUGAAAGCCCCCGGCUCAACCGGGGAGGGUCAUUGGAAACUGGGGAACUUGAGUGCAGAAGAGGAGAGUGGAAUUCCACGUGUAGCGGUGAAAUGCGUAGAGAUGUGGAGGAACACCAGUGGCGAAAGCGACUCUCUGGUCUGUAACUGACGCUGAGGAGCGAAAGCGU
rnacentral:rRNA from 1 species